GAUGAACGCUGGCGGCGUGCCUAAUACAUGCAAGUCGAGCGAACAGACGAGGAGCUUGCUCCUCUGACGUUAGCGGCGGACGGGUGAGUAACACGUGGAUAACCUACCUAUAAGACUGGGAUAACUUCGGGAAACCGGAGCUAAUACCGGAUAAUAUAUUGAACCGCAUGGUUCAAUAGUGAAAGACGGUUUUGCUGUCACUUAUAGAUGGAUCCGCGCCGCAUUAGCUAGUUGGUAAGGUAACGGCUUACCAAGGCAACGAUGCGUAGCCGACCUGAGAGGGUGAUCGGCCACACUGGAACUGAGCCACGGUCCAGACUCCUACGGGAGGCAGCAGUAGGGAAUCUUCCGCAAUGGGCGAAAGCCUGACGGAGCAACGCCGCGUGAGUGAUGAAGGUCUUCGGAUCAUAAAACUCUGUUAUUAGGGAAGAACAAAUGUGUAAGUAACUAUGCACGUCUUGACGGUACCUAAUCAGAAAGCCACGGCUAACUACGUG
rnacentral:rRNA from 1 species